rnacentral:tRNA from 1 species
GCCGGAGUGGCGAAACAGGUAGACGCGCCAGACUCAAAAUCUGGUGACCGCAAGGUCGUGCCGGUUCGAUCCCGGCCUCCGGUA